rnacentral:rRNA from 1 species
CUUGGUCAUUUAGAGGAAGUAAAAGUCGUAACAAGGUUUCCGUAGGUGAACUGCGGAAGGAUCAUUAAUAAAAAUGCAUGUCCCUUGGGGGGCUGUCGCUGGCAACUUUGCACGUGCACGCUCUCAAAGGCAUCCAUCCACUUCUCAUACACACACACACCUGUGCACAACCGCGAGGCUUCGCUUGUCAGUCAGUCACAGGCUUGGGAUCUCGUGCCCGUGGGGAAACCUGCAUCAUGAAAUAUCCCAUGUAUGAUCGAUACGCGUCGCCUUGCCCUUUCUUUACAUACACAUUAUAAAACACCACAUAGGAACGGCGUUUUGCGUGUGACUGCCUCACACGAAACAAAUACAACUUUCAGCAACGGAUCUCUUGGCUCUCGCAUCGAUGAAGAACGCAGCGAAAUGCGAUAAGUAAUGUGAAUUGCAGAAUUCAGUGAAUCAUCGAAUCUUUGAACGCACCUUGCGCCCCUUGGUAUUCCGAGGAGCAUGCCUGUUUGAGGGUCGUGAGAAGGAAAGGACUCAACUGCCGUCGGGCCCGCGGGACCCCCCUGCGACCGAGGGUGAAGUUGGAUGUGGAGGAUAUAUAUGUUGCUGGCUUUUCCGUCGGCUCCUCUUGAAUCAAUGCAGCCUUGUUCAUGGCGGAGUAACGUCGACGUGAUACUUUAUCCGCGUCGUUGUGAAAGGCCCACUUGCGAGCGAGGUUGAGGAAGCUUUUUUGCUUUUAAUCGCAGAUCGACCUCAAAUCAGGUAGGACCACCCGCUGAACUUAAGCAUAUCAAUAAGCGGAGGA